GACGAACGCUGGCGGCGUGCCUAAUGCAUGCAAGUCGCACGCAGGGUGCUUGCACUCUGAGUGGCGCACGGCUGAGGAUCACGUGGGAACAUGCCUCCUUGUGGGGGGACAACAGCGCGAAAGCGCUGCUAAUCCCGCAUACGCUCGGGCAACCGAGGAAGCGGCAACGCGCAGGGAGAGUGGCCCGCGGCCCAUCAGGUCGUCGGNGGGGUAAUGGCCUACCGAGCCGAUGACGGGUAGCUGGUCUGUGAGGGCAGCCAGCCAGACUGGGACUGAGACACGGCCCAGACUCCUACGGGAGGCAGCAGCAAGGAAUUUUCGUCAAUGGGCGCAAGCCUGAACGAGCAACGCCGCGUGGAGGAUGACGGCCU
rnacentral:rRNA from 1 species